UUGCCCUAUCUCUUAUUUAGUUUAUUAAAUAGGUAUAAUUAGUCAUUAAUUCCUUAUUGAUCAUAGCUUUUUCCUCCUAUCUAUUGAUCUGGAUUACUAGUGUUUUUUAUUUUCUGAUUUCUUUGGUUUAUUUAUUUCUUUUUUUUUUUAUGUUCCAUGUUUAUUGUUUUUCAAUUAUCACAUUAUUUUUGUGGUUGAUUAUUGUUUAUCUGGUAGAUUGUGCACUGUUCCCUUGUUAGUUUCGCCAUAUUUUCUUCACUGUUUCCUCUUCUUUGUACCGGGAUUUGUUACACUUGAGCCGAGGGUCUUUCGGAAGCAACCUCUCUAUCUCCCCGAGGUAGUGGUAAGGUCUGGGUACACUUUGCCCUCCCAAGACCUAACUUGUGGGAUUUUACUGGCUAUGUUGGCCUGGUUGUUGUUGUGAUGUUUUCAAAUUUUGUAACUUGUUUAUUCGAAUUGAUAUAUGGGAAUUCCGCAUUGUGUUAGUGCCACAGAUUAACAAACUGGUAUGGGUUUGCUCGUGCUGUGCACGGGCCAAAGUGUUGUGUAUAAGACAUGAUUUAUAAGAGUAUUGCAUGAACAAUGAAAUUUGUACAACUUAUUAAAUAAGAUUUUAAGGAAUUCACACUUGCACCUACUAAAGUUACUUAUGUUGCUCGGACUCUUCAAAAAUGUUGAUAGGUGUGUGUCAGAUACUCCCAAAAUAAUGCAUUUUGGAGAAUCCGACGCGGAGCAGCAACAAUUUUGAGAUUUUGAGCAACAUAGAAAAUUACAAUCUAACAAAGAAAUCCUUAGCAUGUUAAACACAAGGAUUACUAGACAUUGCUGAAAAUCUGCAAUCCCAAUCAUGGGUUGAUAAAUAUCAGAAAGAGAAAAGACAUAAACAAACCAUUGAAGUUGUCCCGAAUUUUCAAAAAGAUAGUUAAAGUUUGCGGGCGUCCUAUCACCCCACAAAACUAGUUAAAACCAUUACAAAUACCCCCUUGACGUUUUUUUCACCAGUUUUACUUUCAAAGCAGCAAGUGUAAUACACUUCCAUUUAUAUAAUAUUAGUUAUUUAUCUAAAUUUAACCCAUUUAAUAAAGAUUUUCUUUUUUCUCUCUUUCUUCUUCCCCUCAACUUCUCCACCAUAGCCACCCAUUUUCACCUUCAAUGAAACCAUCACCAAUUCUAUUUGGGUGACAAAAUGGUUGUCAAACUACCACUAAUUAAUUUAUGAAAAUCAAACCCAUCGAAUAAUCAAAAUGUGAAUACUCAAACUACCAUCAAUUAAUCAAAACUAAAAUACUCAAGUUACCACCAAACUAAACUUGAAAUUGAAGUCACCAUCUUUUCCAGCUUACCUUCAAAUCAAGAUAUUUCAACCACCUUACUACUUUCAAUCUCCAUUUUUGUAGGAGAAAAAAAGCACUGGAAUAUUUAUUUUUUAAUUUGAAAAAAUAAGAAAUAUGAGAAAUUGACAUUGUUUUUCCAAAACAAAUCUGCAACAAUCAAUUCAGUAGAGACAAAUAAAAUUUAAAAAUAGUCCUUUUUGAUUUUGAUCGGAUAAUUAUAAAAUUGUAAUUUCUAUUACUAAAAUCAGCUAUAGUAACCAAAUAGGAAAGAGAAAUAGAAAAAGAAAAAUUUCUUGGAUUUUUUCCCUCAAAACCUAAUCAGAAAAUAAAAUUUGAUUUCAAAACUUUUAAGCAAAUUAAGAUGAAAAUAAAGCUCCAAAAGACUGGAAAGUAAGAAAAUUUAGAAUAUAAAUGAAAAAUCGUAUCUUUUAAGGCUGAUUUUGUUGAGAUUAAAUUGAGAAGGGAGUGAUGUUUUUUUUGAAAUCAAGCUCCAAGGCUAUAACAAUGGUGGUUGGGGGAAAUCAAAUUUUUAAGAAGAAGAAGGGUUUUUGAAAAUAAUUGUCAAAUUUAAGUACACAUGGCAUUUUUGAAUUGUUAGUUGUUGUCAAUUUUCUUCAUUCAUGUGCUUUAUAGGGGUGACCAUACAGAUAGGCUCAAAAUUGUUCAAAAUGGUCUAUUUGCAAGGGUUUCUACAAGUUGUGUGGUGUAAUAAGUCGCCCACAAAGUGUAAGUAUCUUUUUGCAAAUUUGGGACAACUUCGGUGGUCAUUUUAUGUCUUUUCUCUAUUAGAAAAUAAAACAGUAUCAUACAUAUUCAAAUAGAAAUAUUGUUGUGUAUGAAUACAUUUCACUUGCAUACAUAUUCAAAUAGAAAUAUUGUUGUGUCUGACAUCUUCAACAAAUAACAUAUACCAAGGCACCUCCCUUUGAAUAUGUCGCGUCAAAACAUCCAUCACCAAUGGCCUCUCACACCUCCGAAUUGGAGCAUCCGCGUCCCUUCUCAUCACAUGCCUGAACCAAUGCAACCUCACUUCUCGGAUAUUGGCCUCUAUCGAUGCCACUCCCAUGUUCUCCUGAAUAAUAUCAUUUCUAACCUUAUCUUUCCUGGUAAGUCCACACAUCCGCCACAACAUCCUCAUCUUCGCCACCUUGAACUUUUGGAUGUGGGAAUUUUAAUUGGUCAACACUCCGCUUUAUACAACAUAGCAGGGGGACUACCGCUCUAUAGAACUUACUUUUAAGCUUUGGAGGCACCUUCUUAUCGCACAAAGUCUCUCGAGGCGAGCCGCCAUUUCAACUACACAACUCCAAUACGGUGUGACAUCCUCGUCAAUCUCACCAUUUCCCUGAAUCAUAGACCCAAGAUACUUGAAACUUUCCUUUUGAAUGGCCUGAGAAUCCAACUCUACAGCCAUAUCAUCCUCAUGCGGCAAAGCACUAAAUUUACAUUUCAAGUACUCUAUUUUGGUCCUGCUCAACCUAAAGCCUUUGACUCAAGGGUUUGUCUCCAAACCUCCAACUUAUCAUUAACUUCAUCCCGAGUCUCGUCAAUCAGUCUGACAUCUUCAAUAAAUAACAUAUACCAAGGCACCUCCCCUUGAAUAUGUCGCGUCAAAACAUCCAUCACCAAUGCAAAUAAAAACGGGCUAAGAGUAGAUCCUUGGUGCAAACCUGUCAAAACAGGAAAGUGUUCUGAAUCUCCUCCUAUUAUCCUCACACGAGUCUUUGCGCCAUCGUACAUAUCUUGGAUCAACCUAGUGUAUGCCACGGGCAAAUCUCCUUGGGAACUUUGUCAUACGCCUUCUCAAGAUCAAUGAACACCAUGUGCAAGUCCUUCUUCCUCUCUUUAUACUGCUCCACUAAUCUCCUCACGAGGUGAAUUUCCUCAGUAGUCGAGCAACCUGACAUGUACAGAAAUGGUCACGAUCCUUCUUAGCCUCAACUCUACCACCCUCUCCUAAACUUUUAUGGUAUGACCUCAGUAACUUAAUACCCCUAUUAUUGUUGCUACUCUGAAUGUCUUUCUUGUUCUUAUAUAAUGGAAUCAUCGUACUCCAUCUCUAAGCUUCGAGCAUCUUUUCCGUCCUAAAAAUGAUGUCAAACAACCUCGUCAGCCACACCAAACCUGGCCCGCCUGUGCUCUUUUAAAAAUCCACCAGAGUCUCGUCUGUCCCAAUCGCCCUACCCCUACGCAUCUGCCGAAUCGUACCCCUGUCCUCCUCUACCUUGAUAUGCCUACAAUAACCAUAAUUGCGACACCUUUUUAAGUUCUCCAAGUCCCCCAGCAUAAAGCCCCCCGUCGUCGUUCAGGAGUCUAUGAAAAUAGGACUCUAACCUCCUCCUAAUAAGGGCAUCCUCCACCAACACUUUGCCAUUCUCCCCCUUGAUACGCUUCACGUGGUCAAGAACACGGCCCUCCGCUCCCUAGCCUUAGCAAGCCUAUAGAGCUUCUUAUUCCCACCUUUCUUCUCUAAAGCCGCAUACAAAUUCUCAAAAGUUGUUGUCUUAGUCGCCGUAACCGCUAACUUAGCCUCCUUCCUAGCUAACUUAUACUCUUCCCUAUUAGUUUGCUUCUCCUCGUCAUCUUUGCUAUCCACCAACUUCUACCCUUGUUAAUUACGAAGUCCAUUACUAAAGACUUAUGUUGGGUCGAAAGAUUCUCUCUAGGUAUGAUUUUACAGUCUUUACAUGACGCUCUAUCACCCUUCCUAAGGAGCAAAAAGUCUACCUGAGUCUUGAGUCUUGGCCACUGAACUACGAAACGUAAUAAGGUGUUCCUUUCUUUUUAGAUGGAGAUAGAGGAAAAUAGAAAUACAUAGAUUUCCAAUCAAAGAUUAUCUUGCAAGUUGAUCCUUGCUAGAAGUGAAAUAGGAAAUAGGUACAAAAGCUCUUGGUUCACCCUUCACUUUUUUCAUAUCGGGGCGGUAAUAUUUACUUGACUACAUAUCUUUAAGUGCGUUUGACUACCCCAUUGAUACUACGCUAGUCCCGAGCUUUCACUUUCCUUUUAGACAAAAAAAAUAAAUGAUUUAGCAUAAGAGCAUCUCAGUAUAUGCGGGGGAGAAAGAUUAAGAAACUUACCUAGUUGCUUUGCCCGAGUAACCAUCAACUUCUUUUUCUCUAGAAACCAAAGUUAGUCAUGUAAAUGCGUGAGACUAUGAAAGAUAACAAUAACCGAAGUGAUAAUAUCAGUUUGGCUUAUCUUAUAGAAGAAAACAAAUCUUCAUUUUUGGUUGAUAAAAUGAGAAAAGGAGAUGACAUUUUUGAUGAUCUCAAGGGAUGUACUCUUUCCAUCAACUUGUUUGUGGCUAGGCCAGCGGAUAAAUUUUCUUGGAACAUUUCUAGGACAUGUAUAAGUAAAAAGCACAUGAAAACAAACAUUUGACUGUCUGGUUAUCUAGUAGCUUAGAAAGUAAAAUAAGAGGGUCCAUGAGAGGUGUGAGAAGAUCUAUCACUAUAUUUUCUAUUUCAGAGAUCACAACUUUUCCUUAAAGAAUUUUUUUACCGUCUAUCCUAUGUCUUUAAUUAUGUCCCAGGACUUUAAAGGCUUCUCCAUAAGUGCAUAGAAGGCUAUGCUUUAUGCAGUAGCUAAGUUAUUUACCCCGGUAACUAACAUGACAAUUCUUUAAGUUAAAUCAAAAUGAAGAACACAACAAGGAAAAAACAAACAGCUAGUUAUUGCAGAAAAAAGUAAACAGAUAAAAUUAUUAUAAAAAGUUAAUGAAGGUAAAUUUACAAUCAUAGGCAUAGUGCAGCAUUAAAAUUACUCAAAAAGAGAAUUAUCUUAUGCCAUAAAGAACGUAACUUGGUAUUUCCUACUAAUAAAGAAUUUACACUUGGAAACGGUGAGUUACCCUAGGAGUAUUUGCAGAGUGAGAUUAAAAGGAAAAAAGGAGAGCCCUCCUAAGCCUCCGGUCAAGGCAAGAUACAAGUUGGGUUUACAUAGUAAUGGGUUACUUAGAUAAAAUGCAGCAAAUUAACUGUUGCAAUGAGUUGUACAGUGAGCUAGGAAGUAAAAUGAGUGAUUUAUGGGAUUGGAGUCUAAUUUGUUUUUAUUCUAUUUCCAUUAAUGUUGAUUAUCUUCCAUUUGGGUGUUUGUAUUGAUUAUUGUAUAUUAUCUUACCAUUUAGAUCUCUUUUCUUCUUGUAUAAAGUUGCGGCCUUGUAAUCAUUGAAAGAUACUCACUGUGUUCGGUUUUUAUCAUAAUAGAAAAACAAACUUCUCACUGUGUUCUGUUUUUAUCAUUAACUGCAAAAGAAAACGUCACUUUAUCCAAUCUAAGAUAUAAGGGAAAGAGAGAAAAAAAGAGUGAAAGAGAAGAACGGAAAAGCAAUAGAAGAAAAAGAGCUCUCCAAUCUGCGCAAUUGAAUCGAAGAGGGGGGAAAAUAUAAUCAGCUGCCUUAUUAGCCCAAGUUUACCCUUAAAAAUUGUUACUAAAGUUAACGAGGAAUCGAGAAGUUCAUUCUUUACCUGUCAAACACGAGUCACCUAAGGAUUACUUUGAGUAGUUUCCAUUAUUGGAGUCAACGCCUGUUUCUUCCCAUUUGAACUCAAAGAGAAAUCCAAUGUUCAACUGGAAACCUAAUAAUUUAAAAUCUUGAAUUCCUUAAUGAAAAUAGAUAGAGAAAUUACCAAAA